rnacentral:lncRNA from 1 species
UAAAGUUUUUUUUUUUUUUUUUUUCACUUGAAAAAAAUUAAUCUAGCCCAACCUAGAAAAAAAGUUCCUAACUUCGUCCCUGAGUACUGCUGCUAAUAGAUCUGCGCACGUCUUAGAUAAAUUUAUUUUCCCACUAAAAAAAUGUAUUUUCUUGUUUUCCCGCACAACUUUGACCUUACAGAUACUUCAGGAAAUGUUUACAUCCUGGUCGGUAGGACAGCAAAAUAAUUUAAUAAUGAAACCCAAAAAUUAAUUUUAUUGAUUAAUUUAAGGCCAAAAGUUAAAGGUUUCAACCAGAGUUAUCGUUUCUUAUUUAUUUUGAAUUGGUUUUUUUCCCCCUACAGGGUACCGGCGGUCUCCCGCGACUGAUUCAAUUUUCUAAAAUAUUUUAAUAAUGCAAACCAAAAGGUUUUAUUGAUUAAUUUAAGGGCAUGUCAAGGGUUUCAUCAAAGAGUUGUUCUUUCUGCUUGUCUUGUUUUGUACUGUUUAAUUUUUUUUCCCUGACUGAUCUAAUUUUCUAUGUUUUUGAUACUUUUCCGGCACGUUUUAAGUGAUUGCGAUCACGACGAUGAUAAUUAAGAAGUAACCAUCAUUGAAAAUAUUAAUGUGAUGAUGAUGAAACUAAUUGCAUUUGGCUUAAUGCUUGGCAAUUUUAUUUUUACACGUAUCGUUCAACAUCAGCCAGCCUGAGGAUCAAGUUUGGAUCCUAAAUUUAUAUUUUGAGGUAUUUCCUUCGCAAUCAAGAUAUUAUUUGUCACUUAAAAUAAGAGAUUUUAUAAUUUAUGGAUACUAUUUAUGAAUUCAUAAAUUCUUCUUCUUAUUCUUUUUAGCAUGCACUCACGAUGACUCACCUACCUAUGCUACUUCCACUUGGGCACAUUUAUUUCAAAUUGAACCUUAACCUUGUAGUUUUUUAUUUUUUAUUUUUAUACAUGAAAGCUCUAAAAAUGUAUAAACUUAAUUAUUUCAUGGAAAUAUUCUUUAUUCUUUUACUUUAUUGUUCUUAAAAAAAAUUCAAAUAGCCUUUGCACUUUACGAAUUCUCUUUAAUUAUGAAAGAUACAGCAGAAAUCCGGUCCCAGAGCAGCCAUAUAAGACUCAAUCUUUUGCAACAUCACAUUUUAUUUUUUAUUUGUUUUUCCAAAUAUAGGAUAGAGACAAAUAUCUUUGAAUAGGUUAAAAUUAAGUAUAAUCUCCAAAACACGAUGUGACCCCAUGACAUACAUACAAGGCCAAUUGGCCAAAUGGAUUUAAAAAACUAUUUUUUUUAGGAAAUUAAAAUACUGCCUUAAAAUUAGCCGUUUGUUUUUUUAAAUUAGAACUCUUAAUUUCAAGAAAUAUUUUUUUAAUAAGUGAAAUUUAUUUCAUAAAAACGAAAAACAACUUUAUUUCAAGAAAUAGAAUUUCAAAGAUGAUAGCAUAAAUAUUAUGGAAAAUUUUCCACUUAUACAAGAAAAUUACAGCAGCUAAGAGAGCAAAUUUAGAUACCCAUCAGCAGCUUGAUUACACUUCCUUGAGACAUGAUAAAUCCUCAAAUCAUGCUUUGGCAAAAAUAAAUAUUGCACCUCUGAAACAACCUAGAACAGCUCAGUACUAGAAUUACACUCACUGCCCUAAAACUAACGGAGUAACUCGUAACAAAUCCGGCUCGACUAUAAAUAGAGAUCAACCAAUGCUUUGAUUUAAUAAAAAAGAAAGCAAUUAUUAUUAAUUUUAUUUCCCCACGAUAUUCAUGAUGAAAGACCCCCGAGAUCAAGAACUUAAUUGUAUAUCAAAGAAAAACAUUUCUACUAACUAAUAACAUUCCCCUAAUCCUCUUUAUCCUCUAAUUUUCAAAUGGCGCUUGGAUUCUCCUUUUUCUUAUCUAUCCUUCUUGCCUUUCUUCUCUUUUAUUGCUUCCUGAAAUUUGGGAAGAAAUCUAAUAACAAAAACAAAAUUCCCAAUCUACCCCUGGGACCAUGGAAACGACCUAUCAUCGGAAAUAUGCACCAGCUUGUUGGGUCCCUACCCCAUCGAGCUUGAAGAGGCUUGGCAAAAAAAUAUGGACCUAUUAUGGACCUUCAACUCGGAGAAGUUUGUACCAUCCUUGUAUCUCCCCCGGAAUUUGCAAAAGAAGUGAUGAAACACAUGAUGUCAUAUUUGCAUCAAGGCCUCAAGAUGUAGCAGCCAAAAUCAUGUCUUAUGAUUAUAGUGACAUAAUCUUUUCACCAUAUGGUGAUUAUUCGAGACAACUUAGAAAAAUCUGCAUUUCGGAGCUUUUAAGCAUAAAAAGGGUCCAAUCUUUCUGAUCAAUAAGGGAAGAAGAAGUUUCUAAUCUCAUUAAAUUGAUUGAUUCAAGAGCAGGAUCAGUGAUUAACUUAAGUGAUGAAGUUAACUCAUUGAUGUAUUGUAUCACUUCAAGCGCUGCCUUUGGGAACAAAUGCAAAGAUCAAGAACUAUUUGUGGAAGUGGGUGAAGGAAAUCUUAAUAUUGUUUCCUUCUAUUGGAUUACUUGAAUCGAUGAGUGGAAUCAGGUCAGGGGCGGAGAGGGUGCACCAAAAAGUUGACAGGAUUAUUGAAAACAUUAUCAAUGAUCAUAGGAAGGGCAAGGCAUCAUUGCAGAUUUCGAAGACUGAAGAAGAUUAAGAUCUUGUUGUUAUUCUUCUGAAAAUUCAAGAACUUGGUGGUCACGAUCAAUUUCACUUAAGUACUGAAAACAUCAAAGCAGUUAUAACUGCAAGUAAUUAAUUACAACAAGCUUGUUCUUUUUUUUUUCCCCUUUUUUGGAAAAAACCCGAACGCAGGAGAUAAUUUAUUUCAGUUAUUAAGGGCGUUUUUGGUAUUAUAUUUCGAAUGAUAUAUUUUUAAUAUAAGAAUAAUUAAUUUUUUGUGAACGUAAAAAGGCCUAAAUUUAAUGAAAAUAAUAAAAAGCGGUUAUUAGUUUUUUUGAAAAUACAAUUAAUAUCCAAGGUCUAGCUUGGAGUAGCUUCUUAAUUAAGAUCAGAUCCUAGGUUUUUCAUUGAGUACACAAGAGCCAAAAAAAAAAAAAAGUCUUUAUCAUUUAUUUUGGGCCUUACGAUACUUCAUCCUCGAAAUAUUACUUGGUGACAAAAACCGUGGGGACCGUGCUUUUAACUAAAUAAUUUAUAUAGUUUGUUUUUCGUUAUAUUCUUAGUUGAAUGCAAGUUGCAUAUAUAGUGCUUUGAAACAAAAUAGUACUGCAUAAUGGUUUAAUUCACUCGUGCAUAUACACAAAUGAUAAAUCCCAUUUCAGGACGUUUUUACUGCUGGCAGCGAUGCAUCUGCCACAAUUGUAGAUUGGGCAAUGAGCGAAAUGAUGAAAAAUCCUACAAUAAUUCAAAAGGCACAAGCUGAGGUGAGAGAAAUAUUUAGUAGAAGAAAAGAUGAUCUACACAUCAUCCCCAUUCCUUAUCAUUGUGCGCCUACUGUUGAAUAAGUGGCAAGGGGCAAAACUGCAGCCAUGUAGCGAAUCUCAUUAAGUGUUGCAUUUGAUGUCCUACAGGUCUCAGUGUUCCCUUUGUUUGUAUGCCUUCUAUAUCAGUAGAUGUGUGCAUGAAAGCUGGAACUUAAUUACUGAACAUUUCACAUGCUUAUUAAAUCAUUGUAGUUUCAGUUUGCAAGCUUUUUUUAAUUAUUAUUAUUAUUAUUAUUAUUAUCAUCAUCAUUAUUUUUUGCUUCGUAUACCAUGACCAUGUCAUAGUUAGUGUAUGGUAAAUGAGACAACAUAUGUUUCGCCAUAUUGAGGUGGUGUGUCGGUCAAAUGGGAUUCACAAAUUCAUAAAUUUUAUUUUUAAUUUUAAAAUUAAAAAUUUGUGUGUCCCGUUCAAGAACACAUUAGACAUGCUAAAUUAUAGGUCAUUAUUGGGUAGAUGCACCACCUUGUCAAAGAAAAGUAAUAUGCACCCCAAAAAUAAAUACCACCUAAACUCACUAAGGAAAAAAAUAAUAAACAAAAGUGUAAAAAAGAAAAUUAUACUUGAGUGGAGUUCAAGUGGAGUUAAUUUUCGAGAAAAUCUAGUGUGAAAUGCCCAAUAUAUCAAGGUUUGUUAAAAUCAUGUGUUAAAAACUAUUCAUAAUAGGUUUAGGAGAAAAAUGAUCAUUUCAAUAUUUUUGAGUUCUAGAUGGAUGAAUGGAUGUCAUUUUUGAAAUUUAGAGUGCAAUCUAUGUUAUUUUUAGACACGAAGAAUCAAAUUAGUCUUUAUUUCUUCUCUCAUCUUUAACUUCAUCAAGUUCAUUAAUGCGAGGUCUUUGAGCCAUUAUCCUAUUACUCUUAUCCUUAUCUCCUGAGGUCAUUUUGACGCUCAAUUCAAGCGGAGGAAAAUUUAUGAGGAUGGUGAGUGUUGACGCAUUCGAAUUUAGUCCAUCCAUUGUGAACUCACAUUAUUUUCAUAAUGAAUUAUUUCAUCAACACAUGGAUAUAAUCAUGUGCUAUGGUUUUCACUCUAGAUUGUGAGGACCAAAAGUUUCCUCAUAAAAAUCUCUAUGCUGUGGAUAUUUAUUUAUUUUAAUUGACCUAGAUUAAUGUUUAUAUAAUUUAUUUAAUUGGUGGUGGAGUUUGGGAUUUCACAUACUUGAGAUUCUUAGAAAUGCUUAUAUGGAAUAUUCGUCGAGAUGGAUUUGUUGGGAAUUUUUAUUUUAAAGAUUGUUGAGAGUGUUAAUAUUUUUUAUUGUGAUAAUUACUUACUUGAUUGUAUUCGAAUGUAUCAUACUCAUUCAAAAGAGUUCUUUAUUUCCUUUUGACAAAUUUUCAUAGCAGUUCUCCAUGUUAAAAUAUCCUAGUUUUAACCCUGUGUUGUGAUUUAUUAACAACCGGAGAGGUUUUGAUUUCCCGACACUUGAUCCAAUAACAUAGAAGGUUGGUGGCGUAAGGUGUUUGAUGUCACAAAGACUAAAUAAAUGAAUUGUUAUGAAACUGGUGGCUUUCUACGAGGCGCACACCGCUUCCAUGCAUGACCUCGUCUUACUCGAUUCAUCAGCCCACCAGUUCAUAUUAGCUAAUUAGCUGAGCUAGUUGAAGUGCCAAUACUGUUACAGCUGUUUUGUUAAGUCACCUAUAAGAAAUUAGAUUAGAUGUGGUAACUUGUAUUUACAUGUGGCUAACUUUCAUUCGUCACAAAUCACUGUAAAUACGGGCAAUAAUCACUUGAUUUGUGCGAUUGCUGGGCCCAGGGCAGUGCAUGAGAAGAAUAAAAGCAUUAUUUUCAUGGCUUAUUUCUCUUAGCCCUUUAUUAUUUAUACUUCCUAUAUUAUAAAGAUUUUAUACUAUAAAUAUCAUUUAAAUCGAUAAAAGUGAAAUAUUCAGUGACAUUCGAGAUAUAUUACUCAUCUAUUUUAUAGUGGCCAACCGAUAUUUAGCCAUAUUAUUGUGGAAGUGUCAGAAUAGGACACAGGUAAUGCAACCAAACAGCGUCCUUCACCUUUUCAAAUUGUAUACUAAUUAAAGAUAUUUUUGAUGAAGAACACGACAGAGAAUACCAGUUAAAGAUAUUUUUGAUGAAAGACCACAAAAGAUACACAACGUGGAUAUACUAACGGACUAGUAAAAAUUCUAUCCCCAUUCUCCAGUUCAUUUCACAUGGAGCUUCUUGGGCUGUCUACCACCUCGUCCAUCCUUCUGGCUAUUCUCCUCUCUGCCUUAGCUGUGCUGAAACUAGAGAAGAGAUCACAAACCAAUAACAGAAUCUCAAAUCCACCACCAGGGCCAUGGAAAUUACCUGUUAUAGGAAAUUUGUACCAGCUUGCUGGCUCCCUACCCCAUCAUGGACUAAGAGACUUGAGCAAGAAAUAU